GGGGGGGGUGACGGCUCCGUCAUUCGAGCCGGUUCAUUUGCGACCGACACAUCACUAUGACAGAGAGAGAGAGAGGUAGCUGGCAGAAUGGAGGUUCAGAUGUUUAACCAUCAAGUUCAACUCAGGCUCAGCUGAGAGAAUGUUUCUGGUCCAUCCAAGGCAGAGAGAAGAUAAGUGUUUAUCUUCAUCACAUUCAUCAGGGGCUUUCCACUUUGGGUCAGCCUCUCUUUUCAUGAACCGUGUCCCAUCUUGGCCACCCUGUUAAAAUGUCCUGGAAUGCUCCCAUUCACGUCUCCACAAAGGAUGCUGAGCCACUCUUAAUUGAAGCUAGAGGAGGGAGGUCUCUGCUUCAUCCUCUGCUUUACAUUCUAUACUGGCAUGGCCUACAUACAAGUGUAAACACAUACACUGCACACACACCAUCAAAGUGAAACCCAUUCAAACAAAUUUCCAUCAUAAGAGUUUGGAGGUGGUCUCAUCUUUAGAUUUUGUGAUACCUGCACAUCUGCAGCUUCAGAGAGCAGAACCAGACUUCUUCAUCAGCUUUUUGCAAUCACUGGCUCUGAAGCUGCUGCUCCAGCUGAUGACUGCAGAUCAGAUUGUACUCUCCACAUGGACAGGCUACUCUGGUAUCUGACAUCCACAUAUCCAGCAUGUUUUAGUUGUUUCCCUACUCCAACACGUUUGAUCCACUUAUCGAAUUACCUGUUUAGCAGAUCUUUAAGCUCUGCAGAAGUCUGUUAAUCACUCGAAUAAAAAUCAGGUGUGUUGAAGCAGCUAAACCUCUAAAAGUCAGAUACACAAACACAUAUUAGGCUCAUAAUAAAGCAUCAUUCAUGUAUGGGUCCAGGUACAGCGGAACCAGUGUGUUGGAGCAGGGAAAGAACCAAACCAUGCUAGAUAGUGACCCUCAAGGUCCAGAGUUGCCUACCCCUUUUUCAGACCUACUCUGAUUGUCCCUGCGGGUUUGAUCCAAUCCCUGGUGCCUAACUGGCCAAAUGCUGAUGUAGCAUUUAAAACAAUUGUUUGUUUACAGCCUUUUAAUUCUGUACCUUAUAAUUUUUCUGUUAGAAACAUCACAAGCAUUUAAAUGUAUUCAAAUGUGUGACUUAAAAGCUGUUGAACAAGAAUUAGAAAACAUUAGACCUACAGUAUAUUCUCCUUUUUUCUGCUGUGUAGCACAAACCCUCUUUGUUUCCUGACAUGAACUGCUCCAGGUCAUGGCCUGGCUGAAGGUUAUUUGUUUGAAGCUUUCCCACAGCCCCUAACUAAAGAACACAACACCACCCAGCCUUUGUGUCCCAGUACAGACUGAGACAAACCACCAACCUAGACCCUCACAUUCCUUUGAGAUUUGAUCACGAACAUUUUGCCAGGUGGUUUAAAGACAAAUAAUGGUUGUUUAUAAGUUCAUGCUUUAUAUCUUGUGUUCAUUUAAUAUUCAUGAAAUAACUUUGUGUCUUCCACAGAAACACAGCGGCUCAUUAAUGAUUAAAUGCAAAUUUUUUAAAACCCAGAUUUAAAGUAGUUUUGCUUUUUUUGUGCUCUUUCGGCUUUGGUUCUUGUAAAUAAAAUGCAUUUUCCUCAUGAGAA